GCUUUCUGAUUUGCGUGGAGGCUGAAAAACUCGAGAGUGUGUGUUGUCAUCAGCUUCGUAUCUUUUUUUCCUUACUGUGAGAUGGGAUUUAAAUAACAGCAUGAUAUUA